UAAUCCCUUAGUGGCAUCAGAGGGUACCACCACUACUGUAAGACCACUGCUACGUCGAACCACCCGAAGAAACGCAGGCUACCAUUCCAAUGCCCAUCAUUUGCCAGAGACAAUGGGAGGCAGAAGGGGCAGUGUGAAUUCGCAAGUAACUGUUGCUAGGGGGGUUUCUACUCUUUUUAGGCCUUGGAGUUAAUAUCGUCGGGUCGACGAAUUUAAAAACUAGGGGGUAGAAUGUGACCGGUUAAGAGUUUCUGAGUUGUUUUAAUGGGAAGACACGCCCAGCGGAAUUGAGCCACGGCACGAUAUUGAAUACACCUGUGUGGCUCAAUUAGGGAGGUUUGUUGGGUCCCGGUGGCUCUAUAAAAAGUUUGUCUAAAGGCAUCAUUGUCAUUCUUCUCCGUACUGCGUGUAACAAAAGUCUAAAUGGUGAUAUUUCCUGUAGCUAUUCCCUGGGAUGUGCGUGCAGUGGCGAGCGCAGGUUGCAUAAAGCUUACUGUAGCCUAAUUGAUCUUUCACUUUGAGGUAAGACAAAUUAUUGGGGUCUUUCUUAAUUCUUGAAGGGGGAACUCUUUAGAAAUUGAUACACUAUUUUGUGCUGUUACUGUAUCAUUUCAGGUGUGGUCCAGAGCGCUAGCUGCUGUUUUCUUAGGGGUUCUAUACUCGUGGUGUCGCUGUUUGUCGGCUGGCUGUAGUGAUUGGACGUUUGCGGUUUCGAACCGCUGUAGUGACCGAGCUCUUCCACAGUCUCUGCCCUGACUGGUCUGUAUGAGGGUUGCUGAAUUAUUGGGCAUGCGUGUUUUAUAUGGACUAUUAAAGUGAACUAGAACAACGAGAAGUUUGGUCUGUAACAGCAGCCGGAACAAUUUUAAAGAUUAAUUGUGUUGAUGUAUUUUUCUUUCUUUUUUUCCUUUCUUUGAUCUUGAACACUGUAUUUGCCAGGUAUGUCCACAUGUGAAUGAUUUGACCUGUGAUAUGAGGCUUAGCUGAAGAGGAGAGUGUAUUUGCUUUUUUUUGUUUGGUUUCUUUUGAAUUGUUUAUCACUUGCUUUGAUUUUGUUCACUGAUUGUUGUGUGGUUUGUCUCUUCAGCUAUUGCGGAUUAAUUACGGUCUCUUAUUUGCUGUGGGUAUUUAAUUGGUAAUUGUGUAUGAGACCUAUUUUUAGAUGUUUUAAAAUUAAUGUCCCUCGUACAAAAUAAACUUUGUAUACUUUUGAA